CUGAGGGAACGCCCCGGGGAGCCCUUCCGGGCCCCGACGGCUGCGGGCCCCGGAGCCAAGAGAAGAAGCAGGUCCCAGGGCCGACUCCGCAGCAGCAUCUCCAGCUUUGUCCGGGAAGCAGAGGCCGCCGCCGGCCACAGUCGUGGGUGAGAAGAAGGGCGCGAGGCGGCCGGGGCUCCUGCCGGGCACCCCAAGUACGCGCCGGGCUUCUCCAUGACAGCUGCGGCCCGGGCUGCCUGGGGCCUGGGACUCCGGCGCGGUCCGGCCGCGAGAAAGGCAGGCGCUGCCCCAGUGGGGAAGGGGCAAGGCUGCGGCUCCGGCCACCGGGCGGGGGCACAGAAACGACCCCGGCGCCGUCUGAGCGCCCAGCUCCGUUCCUGCCGCGGCCAAAAGACACCCGAGAGCGCCGGCGGCUGGGGGACCACAGGGCCCUGGAACUCACCAGGCGGCCUCGCGGCGCAAAAGCGGGCGGAGCCAGAGAAGGGGCUCGGCUAGGCGGCCACGCUCCCUCCCCGGAGGGCGGCGGGACUCGGAUUUCGCCUCUGGUUUAAAAAUUGUGCCUGCGGAGCCCAGGACGCUGGGAGGAGCGUUCUGCGCUCCUCCGGUCGCGGUCUCCGCACUAAACCGACUUCCAGAGCCGCCUCUGCUCCCUGUAGUGGCGGAGGGGCGGGCACCGAAGUCCCACCAAGUCGCAGGUCCUCAGCCUGGGGCAUGCUUGCUAUGCUCCGGAUGCAGGGGGGUACUCUGCCUCUCUGCUCCCUGGGGGCCAAGGCGUGCGCUGCAGGCUGGAGCUGCGGCUCCGAGGCUUCCAGGAGCCCCGGCCCCGCCGUCGGUGGAGAAACGCUGGGGGCUUCGAGGUCGCGGCUUCCGGAAAUCCGGUUACUGAGCGGAGUUGGGGGUCAGGUUCCAAAGGGAUAGCGCCCCGGGUUGUAAUCACCAUCUGGCCCGCCGCUCCUGCCGCCGCGAGUCUACAGCGGAGCUAUUGGGUGGACCAAGCGGGUGAGGCGCGGGCAGGCAGCGGCUCCGCCUCGUAAUCCUCCUCCGACCGGUGCCCAGGGGCUGGCCCCACCUUUCCCUCGGUCACCCACCAACGCCGCUCCCUCGAUCCCCAGCACCCCUCCAGGCCCAGUUCGCUUCAGAGGCGCGAGACCCGGAAAACAAGGAAGAAGCGAGCUCAGCCUCAAUCCCCGUCCCCACCCCACUUUCGGGGCCGCUGCGCUGGAGAAUUGAAGGGGGCGGACCCCGGAUUAAAGCCGCUCCCUUCCCAGCCUCGCUCCUCUUUCCUUCUGUCCGUGAUGAUUUCUUUAUUGUCAGGCGAGAGCCAGGCUCCCCGCGCUCACGGGACCGGGCGGUUGGGAGCGGGUUCUGGAGCUCACGCCUGGCGUCGGCGGAGGUGACCCCAGCGCCCUCGCCCGUGCAGGGGAAACAGCUGGUUCCCGCCCGGAUGGGGAAACCUGGACUGCGUGGGCUCGGGCGCCUGGCAGGCAUGCGGGGCCUCUAAGGCUUGGCCACUGUCACGGGUCCUGUGGUUGUUGCUUCUCCCCUCGCCACGCCCUUCUCCUGGGACGGAGAUUCAUUCCCUGGCGGGUGUCGGGGACCUGGGCGCAGAUUCAUUCCCUGGUGGGUGUCGGGGACCUGGCGCUCUUGCAGGGACGCCCCCCGGAGUCUGAUACGUGGACUUUAAGAUCAGACGCUUCGGGGCCGGGCUGGGAAAAACUGGCGGAAAAUAUUACAACUCUACUCUCAAUGCCAGGCUGUUGUAGAAGCUCCUGGGACAAGCCGUGAAGUCUCCGCAGGAGGCUUCAGAGAUAUACUAGGCGGCUGCUCAGUUCGCCAAGGACUUUUCCAUUGACUCACAAGCGCCGCCUGGAGGAGGAGGCCGCGCUGGACGCGCCGGCGGCGCCUUUGCCUGGGGGAGCGCAGCCCGGAGCUGUGGCGUGGCCGCGCUGGGAGCGGCGUGUCAGAGGCUGGGCCUGGGGACCCGAGGUUGGGCGGGGCGCAGGAGGUGGGCUCAGGGCUCUCCAGAGCACUCCCCUGAGCUGACCCGCAGGACUGCCGGGCCAGUAGGCACGGGGCCCGCGCGGUGACCUGCGGCCUCGAGGCUGGAGCAGCCACUGCAAACGCCGCGCUGGCCCCAAACACUGCGUCCUUGAAAUGUUUUAAUUAAGAAUAAUUAAUAGGGCCGGGAGUGGAGGCUCAAGCCUGAAUCCCCAGCACCUGGCGAGGCCGAGGAGGGAGGAUCCCUUGAGCCCAGAGGUUCAAGACUAGCCUGGGCAACACAGUCAGACUCCAUCCCUACAAAACAAACAAACGAAAAUAAAACAAACGAAACGAAAUGAAAUUAGCCCGGCGUGGUGGCGCGGGCCUGUGGUCCCAGCUCCUCGGGAGGCUGAAGCAGGAAGAUGGCUUGCGACCGCACCACUGCGCUCCAGCCUGGGAGACAGAGCAAGACCCUGUCUCGAAAAAUGUGUAUGUCUGGGUAAAUGUAUAGAUUUUAAAACUAUUUUGAAGGCGGCCUUUUUAACUCUAAACUGACCACUCUGGAGGAGACGCCUGACCCAGAGCGCUUUCCCUAAAGUUCGGUGCCCAAAGUGCACCUUCCCAUGGUUGGGGUCUCUGCCUUUCGCCAAGCCUUGCCUCUUGCAGAGGUGGGCUCCAUAGUGUCUCCCGCUCCGCCCCAACUGGAGAACAGUGUAAAUUGUCGGCCGGGCGCGGGACCUCAUGCCUGUAAUACCAGCACUUUGGGUGGCUGAGGCGGGCAGAUCGCUUGAGGUCAGGAGGUCGACACCAACCUGCCUAAACAUGGUGAAACCCCGUCUCUACUAAAACUACAAAAAUUAGCCGGGCGUGGUGGCGGGCGCCUGUAAUCCCAGCUACUCAGGAGUCUGAGGCAGCAGAAUUGCUUGAAUCCGGGAGGCGGAGGUUGUAGUGAGCCGAGAUCGCGCCACCGCACUCCAGCCUGGGCAACAAGAGUGAGACCGCGUCUUAAAAAAAAAAAAAAAAAAAAAAGAAUUGUCAACCAGAGGGAGCGGCAAUUCAGAAGCACGCUGAAGCCAAGUCCUCAAGACUAGAAAGCAUGAAGCAGGGGAGGCGUUUUGAAAGCUUAAGGACAAAAGACCAUGGGCCUGGAUGGCUGAUUCCGGGAUCGGCAUCGUAAUUUGUUGAGAAGGAGGCCGUGCUGUGCUGCCAGUUAUUAAUGGGUUUAAUCGGUUGAUACACAGCCCUACUGGCCUAACCAGUAGCCCAGGGCCCGAGAGGAUUUGCAGGUCGUGUCAGAAUUUGAUUGAAGUUCCUUCCACUUGGCAUAAGGAGACACCAUCAGCCUGAUUGAGAGGGUCAUGGUGAGAUGGAGCCCGCCAAGGUGGCAGCGCUGAGCUGACCACGCCACGGACCAUAGAGUGGGAGCCUUUCCUGCCCCCUUAACCGCAGCUAACAUCAAAAGCACUGGUAUGGGCUGUCUAACUGGAACCUGAGUUGGUCUUUGUAAUUACGAUUCUUUUGGGUUUAUUUUGCCAGUUCAUUAUCCACCCCCCUGAAAUCAGGCCUCCCAAAUUUAGCAGGUGCUGGGGAGGACCCCAGGGAGUGGCUUGUGGGGGCUAGCUGGUGAAACUACCCUUUCCUUUCUGUUCUAUGAGUGUGAUGGUGUUUGAGAAAUAUGGGGCUAUGGUUCAGGCGCACUUCACAUGUGCAAAGAUGGAGAAAGCACUCACCUGCACAUUUAGGCUCAGAAUAUUGAUUGAAACAUUUUGAAAUAUCAAAAAUAAAAUGUUAUUUUUAAAGUUUCUCUGAGAUUUCGCUUAAGUUUUGGUAGAUAUUCUUAAAUUUUAGUGACCUCAGUUUGGGAAUUCAGUAAGCCAAAUAUUGUAUCCUUAUUAUUAGUUAUAUAGAACUAUGCCUUAGACUUUGUUAGAAACUUCUGCUUCAGCUUGACUGACUCAUUUUCCAUUUCUGGUUGUACAAAAUGAACUGACACUUUAAUGCUGUGGCCACCUUUAAAUAAAGUACAAUGUGACAAAAAAA